GAGUUUUUCUGAAUUGAUUUCGGAAGGCUAUGCAAAUUCGUAUGAAGCGAAAAAUUGAACGAAAGAGACGUGGAGAGAGACUUACUCUGAACCCUUCCGUAUAGUAGGAGAAUAAAAGACAGCGUCUCAAGAAGUGGACACUCGGAACUUCUUCCAAGGAACGAUCUCCUCUGUGAAUCUGAAAAUCAGGAUGAACGGGUGCGCUCUCACGCUAGCGCUGCUGGGCUGCUGUAUAGUCCUGGUGUCAUCCACGUCCCCCGCACAUUGUCCUGACCUGGAUUGCUCGUCAGCGAAGUGUGAACCGCUCAACUGCAGCUGCGGAAUGUACAGACCCACCUGCUCAUGCUGUGAUUCAUGCUACACGUGCUCGGGUGAAGCUUGUAGCUUGAUUCCUCCGACGGUUUGCCAGAAGGGAGCCUGUAAGCUCAGCUCGUCAACUGCUAAGGCCCUCUCGUCACCAGGACCUCACGGAAAGUGCCCUUGAAUAAAACGAGCUUGGAGUCUGUCCAUCUG